rnacentral:rRNA from 1 species
AUGAGAGUUUGCGGAGAGGGCAACACUAGCACAAAUACCAGAACUGAAUUAGACAAGUACCUAGCUGAGGACACAGAAGAGUUGACUACUGAAUUUGACCUUCUUGAAUGGUGGAAGUGCAAUGCUCCUCGCUUUCCCGUCCUUUCAAAAAUGGCUCAUGAUAUACUAGCAACCCCCAUCUCUACGGUUGCUUCUGAAUCAGCUUUCAACACUAGUGGUCGUAUUCUCGAUGACUUCAGAAGCUCUUUAACACCAGCGACACUGCAGUCGUUGAUAUGCACACAAGAUUGGUUGUGUUCUAAGUGUAUCAAUGUUGAAGCUGAUCUCGCUGAGUUGACCAGGCUGGAGGAAGUAAAUGAUAAUGUGACAAUAUCGAUUGAUUGA